UCGAUGUCUCUCUUGCUCUGAGAAAAUCCCCUUUGAUUGAUUAUCUCUUAAUUUGUCUCAAUUGAUGUCGUGCUCUACCUCCAACUACUAACUAGAUAUGGAAUGGGCGUUGGUGCGGGUGCAUGCUUAUUGUUUGGUUUUUUUGGGUGUUUGAAUUUUUAUGUUUUUAAUUUUUUAUUAUGUUAUAUAUGUCAGAGUUGGUUCAGACAAGGGGAAUCUGACUAUUUAAUUAAAACAAAGAAUUGUGAUGGUCCCUACGGAUGCUGACACAAUUUGAUUUUUUCCCAAUGCUCUGAAUGUUAAAGUGAAGAAAUUCAACCAAGCACGGGUAAAUGACAUGAGUAAAUAUGACUCUCUUAAUGUAGCCAAAUGCCUCCCCAUCUAGUUCGUGAUGAACAUGAAUGAAUUAACCAGAUUCCCACUAUCCCUAUCUAUUGUCUAGUUAAACCACAACCAAGGGAAUGGGCUUGGCAUAAUAAACAAAGAAAGAAUACCUUGUUGAUCUUGACUCUAGUACAACUUUGUGAAAUGACUUGAGGGGUGUAGAGUAAGUGGGAUUCUUUUAUGGCACAAAUGAAAUACAACUACUUUUAACGUUAUUUUACUUAUUGUGUGGGGCGGAGAGGGGCAUUACCCUAUUUUUUCCUUAAGACACAUUUCAAUGGGUCGAUCUGGGUGAAAGACAUUGUCUGGUGGGGAUUUUGGAUGGGGCGAUACAUCUGUUAAAAGAUAACAUAAAAUAUAAUUGGUGUAUAUAGAACAUUUUUAUUUGGGAGAUCUUUGUGCACAACCACCCUUAUUACAUUUCCCUCCUAAUUUGUAGUUACAUCCAAUCAUUUCUAAAAUUGAAUCUAGUCUCCUCACUUGCACAAUAUGGAUAGAUGUGUGAACCCUACCCCCCAUUUUCUAGUACCAUGAGAUGGGAUAUCCCUAACCAUGAACCAAAUGUUCCUAAGUUUUCCAAGGUUAUCUCUUCUAACUUAGAUUUCUUAGUCCCUGCCCAUGGUAUUAAAGAUGUCAAAAAAUCACAAUUCACCAAUAUUAAAUAUUAGUUAUAACCAUGGUAAAUAUUGAUAAAUAAUGAAAGAAUAAAUAUUAAAUGAGUAUGAUCAUAUACACAAAAAAAUGAAAAUUUAUAUUUAUUAAAAAUAUCUACAAUUUAAUUACCUCUCACUUUCUUCAUUGUACCUUUAACUUGGUACUUACCUAAUUGUUUGAAAUUACAUGAAAUUACUACCAUGGU
rnacentral:ncRNA from 1 species